UACGUAGGUGGCAAGCGUUGUCCGGAUUUAUUGGGUUUAAAGGGUGCGUAGGCGGUUUCAUAAAUCAGUGGUGAAAUACCAUAGCUUAACUUUUGAGGUGCCCUUGAUACUGCGGAACUUGAGUACAGACGAGGUAGGCGGAAUUGACGGUGUAGCGGUGAAAUGCGUAGAUAUCGGCAAGAACACCGAUAGCGAAGGCAGCUUACUAGACUGUAACUGACGCUGAUGCACGAAAGUGUGGGGAGCAAACAGG
rnacentral:rRNA from 1 species